UAGCGGCGGACGGGUGAGUAACACGUAGGCAACCUGCCUAUAAGACUGGGAUAACUAUCGGAAACGAUAGCUAAGACCGGAUAACUGGUUUUCUCGCAUGAGAGAAUCAUGAAACACGGAGCAAUCUGUGGCUUAUAGAUGGGCCUGCGGCGCAUUAGCUAGUUGGUGAGGUAACGGCCUACCAAGGCGACGAUGCGUAGCCGACCUGAGAGGGUGAACGGCCACACUGGGACUGAGACACGGCCCAGACUCCUACGGGAGGCAGCAGUAGGGAAUCUUCCGCAAUGGACGCAAGUCUGACGGAGCAACGCCGCGUGAGUGAUGAAGGUUUUCGGAUCGUAAAGCUCUGUUGCCCUAGACGAACAGCAAGGCGAGUAACUGCGCUUUGUGUGACGGUAUAGGAGAAGAAAGCCCCGGCUAACUACGUGCCAGCAGCCGCGGUAAUACGUAGGGGGCAAGCGUUGUCCGGAAUUAUUGGGCGUAAAGCGCGCGCAGGCGGUUAAUUAAGUUGGGUGUUUAAGCCCGGGGCUCAACCCCGGUUCGCAUCCAAAACUGGUUGACUUGAGUGUAGGAGAGGAAAGUGGAAUUCCACGUGUAGCGGUGAAAUGCGUAGAGAUGUGGAGGAACACCAGUGGCGAAGGCGACUUUCUGGCCUAUAACUGACGCUGAGGCGCGAAAGCGUGGGGAGCAAACAGGAU
rnacentral:rRNA from 1 species